rnacentral:lncRNA from 1 species
CAGCCCUCGGGAACCCCGGGGACCUCGGCGGGUCUCCACCCCUGGGAGAAGAAGCAGAGCAAGCGCGAAGGUCAAAAAAUUGAGGAAGACAUAAUUAGCAGCUGAAGAAUGACUCAGAUCAUCAGUAGUGAAUAAGAAUGAUUAGGGGGAAAUGGAACAUGUGUUUAAUACAUGAAGGAACGUGUCAGAGAGAUUAAGAACUUGCCCAUGGUGACACAGCAGAGAGACAGUUUAAUCAGUCCGUGACCAAAAUCAAACAGAGUAAACUGUGUCAUCAUGGAGAUCUGCCCAGGAAAUCCCCAAAAUACAGAAGGAUCAGAAGUAGAUGGAAAUAAUGUCAUAGAACGUCUCUCACAACUGUGUUAUAAGAAUGACAGGGAAGCUACAGGUUACAACAGAUUUGUGAACUCAGCCAAGCACAGUGGUGGCAGGGCCUAGCUGCUACAAAGAAGACAUGUUUUAGACAAAUACUCAUGUGUAUGGGCAAAAAACUCGAGGACUGUAUUUGUGACUAAUUGUGUAACAGGGUAUUUUAGUUCCUGUUCUGUGGAAAGUGUAAAGCAUUCCAACAAAGGGUUUUAAUGUAGAUUUUUUUUUGCACCCAUGCUUUGAUUGCUAAAUGUAAUAGUCAGAUCGUGACGCUGAAUAAAUGUCUUUUUCUAAAAAAAAAAAAAAAGAAUGACACAUAUUUGUUCUUCAUUCUUGUUUCACAUUAGUAGUGGCAUUUCUCAUGCUCUA